rnacentral:rRNA from 1 species
UCUGGUUGAUCCUGCCAGUAGUCAUAUGCUUGUCUCAAAGAUUAAGCCAUGCAUGUCUAAGUAUAAAUAGUAUACAGUGAAACUGCGAAUGGCUCUUUAAAACAGUUAUAGUUUAUUUGAUAAUUGACAAUUACAUGGAUAACCGUGGUAAUUCUAGAGCUAAUACAUGCUUAAACGCCCGACUUUAUGGAAGGGUGGUAUUUAUUAGACUGAAGCCAAUAUUCCUUGUGUCUAUUGCGGUGAUUCAUAAUAACUGAUCGAAUCUCUUUUUGAGAUAAAUCAUUCAAGUUUCUGCCCUAUCAGCUUUCGAUGGUAGUGUAUUGGACUACCAUGGCAGUAACGGGUAACGAAGAAUUAGGGUUCGAUUUCGGAGAGGGAGCAUGAGAAACGGCUACCACAUCUAAGGAAGGCAGCAGGCGCGUAAAUUACCCAAUCCUGACUCAGGGAGGUAGUGACAAGAAAUAGCAAACCGGGAACCUCAUGGUUUCACGGUAUUGCAAUGAGAACAAUUUAAAACCCUUAGCGAGAAUCAAGUGGAGGACAAGUCUGGUGCCAGCACCCGCGGUAAUUCCAGCUCCACUAGCGUAUAUUAAAGUUGUUGCAGUUAAAAAGCUCGUAGUUGAACCUCUGUCUGGGGCUAGUUUUGGCUUUGGUCAGGCUAGUUCUAGGCAUCCGCCUACAAGACUUAGAGGGCAUUCAGUUGUUCACUGGAGUAGGCAUUUUACUUUGAAAAAAUUAGAGUGUUUAAGGCAGGCAAUCGCCCGCAUAUAUUAGCAUGGAAUAAUAGAAUAGGACACUUUUCCAUUUCGUUGGUUAUUGGAAUCGUGUAAUGAUUAAUAGGGACAGUUGUGGGCAUUUGUAUUUAAUUGUCAGAGGUGAAAUUCUUGGAUUUAUUAAAGACAAACUAACGCGAAAGCAUUUGCCAAGGAUGUUUUCAUUAAUCAAGAACGUAAGUUAGGGGAUCAAAGACGAUCAGAUACCGUCCUAGUCUUAACUAUAAACUAUUCCGACUCAAUGUUUGACUGGCUUAUAUAACCAGUUGAGCGUUGUAUGAGAAAUCAAAGUCUUUAGGUUCUGGGGGGAGUAUGGUUGCAAAGCUGAAACUUAAAGGAAUUGACGGAAGAGCACAACCAGGAGUGGAUUCUGCGGCUUAAUUUGACUCAACACGGGGAAACUUACCAGGUUAAAACAAUAGUGGGAUUGACAGUUUGAGAGCGCUUUCUUGAUUGGUUGGGUGGUGGUGCAUGGCCGUUCUUAGU